rnacentral:lncRNA from 1 species
AAUGUGGAGAUUAAGGGCUGGCCACUUUAACGAAGAAAGCGAAUCUUUCAUAGUUUAAUGCGCCAUCCAGGACUCUUGCAGAGAGUGGGUUUGUAUUCAGCUAAAACGUUUUAUUUUAUUUAUUUAUUUGUUGCAAAGGAAAUUGGAUCAUGGGAACAUUAAAGGUGGAGGAGUGAAAUGCAUAAAGCAGAACUCACAGCAAGGUACAACCUUGAGCAAGCGCUGCUCACCAACCAAGCAGAAAAGCAACUAAUUAGACUGUGGCUCUCCCUGGGCUCCUGGAUAUGAGUUCCAACCCCCACCCUCCCAGGACUGCCAAAAGUGCAGAGGGAAACAAAACUCCCAUUGGGCAAUUGUUCUGGGGAAGUAAUCAUGCUUUCUGGUCCCACUUGUACACUUGCCUGGAAAGGGGCUGCCUAUAUCCACAGUGAUACGGAAGACUGAUCUUGGUACAGGAUAGUUACCAAAGGUCUUCUCUUCUCUUCUCUUCUCUUCUCUUCUCUUCUCUUCUCUUCUCUUCUCUUCUCUUCUCUUCUCUUCUCUUCUCUUCUCUUUUCUUUCUGUCAAUGAAGAAAAAAGAGCCAAGUUGAUGGCCUCUCUGUCAAAGGGUCGUCCUGAGUCAUAACCUAGUCCCCUCCUCAGUGGUAGGGGUCCUAUCAGUGGCAAUAGGUCAUCUCAUACCGUAGGGAGCGGGUUGAGGUGGAGCAUCCUGGGGAAACUCUGAGAAGAACAUCCCAGAAGUAGCACGAGAUCAUUCUGCAACGCUACUGGGCAGCUGGGGCAUCAUCGGUGCUGAGCAGACCAGAGCAGUAGGCCAGUUCCUGGGAUCUUGGAGGGCAAGUGAGUCCAUAGCUCUCUUUAAGGAGUGGAGAGGGUAGAAAGGCAGGAUGAACACGUCAGAGCACCCUUUGUUAUGGGUUCAAUUCACCAGUUGGAUAGAAAAUGCUCCCAGGAACUACCAGGGAGUAAAGAAGUUACAAGAAGAGAGAGGGUCUUGGACAUUCAGCUGCUAUUUGAAAGCCACCCAGAGAGCAGUGGGCUGUUGCACUGGGGG